GACGAACGCUGGCGGCGUGCUUAACACAUGCAAGUCGAACGGAAAGGCCCUGCUUUUGUGGGGUGCUCGAGUGGCGAACGGGUGAGUAACACGUGAGUAACCUGCCCUUGACUUUGGGUUAACUUCAGGAAACUGGGGCUAAUACCGGAUAGGAGCUCCUGCUGCAUGGUGGGGGUUGGAAAGUUUCGGCGGUUGGGGAUGGACUCGCGGCUUAUCAGCUUGUUGGUGGGGUAGUGGCUUACCAAGGCUUUGACGGAUAGCCGGCCUGAGAGGGUGACCGGCCACAUUGGGACUGAGAUACGGCCCAGACUCCUACGGGAGGCAGCAGUGGGGAAUAUUGCACAAUGGGCGGAAGCCUGAUGCAGCAACGCCGCGUGCGGGAUGACGGCCUUCGGGUUGUAAACCGCUUUCGCCUGUGACGAAGCGUGAGUGACGGUAAUGGGUAAAGAAGCACCGGCUAACUACGUG
rnacentral:rRNA from 1 species